rnacentral:rRNA from 1 species
ACGUAGGUGGCAAGCGUUAUCCGGAUUUACUGGGUGUAAAGGGCGUGUAGGCGGGAUUGCAAGUCAGAUGUGAAAACCACGGGCUCAACCUGUGGCCUGCAUUUGAAACUGUAGUUCUUGAGUGCUGGAGAGGCAAUCGGAAUUCCGUGUGUAGCGGUGAAAUGCGUAGAUAUACGGAGGAACACCAGUGGCGAAGGCGGAUUGCUGGACAGUAACUGACGCUGAGGCGCGAAAGCGUGGGGAGCAAACAG